UACGUAGGUGGCAAGCGUUAUCCGGAAUUAUUGGGCGUAAAGAGCGCGCAGGUGGUUAAUUAAGUCUGAUGUGAAAGCCCACGGCUUAACCGUGGAGGGUCAUUGGAAACUGGUUGACUUGAGUGUAGAAGAGGGAAGUGGAAUUCCAUGUGUAGCGGUGAAAUGCGUAGAGAUAUGGAGGAACACCGGUGGCGAAAGCGGCUCUCUGGCCUGUAACUGACACUGAGGCUCGAAAGCGUGGGGAGCAAACAGG
rnacentral:rRNA from 1 species